rnacentral:rRNA from 1 species
CUUGGUCAUUUAGAGGAAGUAAAAGUUGUAACAAGGUUCAAAAGAUCCUUUCACAUGUUUCAUAACUAUUGAAGCCUUAGCAGCCUGAUUGUAACCGGGGUAGUCAUCAGCGACACGAAAUAAGUAGGAUGACUUGAAAUAGCUAGUUUGAUUAAAUAUCGUCAAGCAACACUUUUUGCCAAAUUGCAGAGACUUCCUAAGAGCUCCAAUUUGUAGUUUUGCUAUCUGAACAAGAAAGCUUGGCCCAGAAAAGGAGAUGAACCAAUGGACGAUCUGCAGCCAGCAUCUAUAAAAGAAAAGAUGUCGGUCCACAGACUAAAGGGCAGUGGGUAUUCUCUUUCAGAGAGAAUGCUUAAAAUAUAGUCGAGGACUCUGAGAAAUCAGUGUCAACAAUUUGCCUUUGCAGCGUUUCACUGUUCCGUAGGUGAACCUGCGGAAGGAUCAUUACCAAAAGGUUUUGUCGGUUUGCAACAUAAUCGUACAAAUACUACUACAAUUGUGAACAUUCAUCUACCGCCCAUUCUCCAUGUUGUGAGAUUUGGGCCAGUUGGCAGGACCCAUUCGCAUUCAGUGAAAGCCUGCCUAUCAUUACACUCUUUUAUGCUAGACAAAUGUAUGAGAUUAUAUUAAUUUGAUAAAAAUUAAAACUUUUAACAAUGGAUCUCUUGGCUCUUGCAUCGAUGAAGAACGCAGCAAAAUGCGAUAAGUAAUGUGAAUUGCAGAAUUCCGUGAAUCAUCAAAUCUUUGAACGCACAUUGCACUCUUUGGUUAUUCAGAGAGUAUACCUGUUUGAGUAUCAGUUAUCCCUUCUAAUCAAGUAUUUGAUUGAUCUGAGUCACUAUGAAUGUCAUACGACUUGUAAAGCAUAAGUAAAAAAGAUGCGUUGUGUAAACAAAAGCGUGUUGUAAUCAAGAGUUGCUUGUUCCUCACCGCCUUUCAACCAACACAUCGAUUUCUAAUAACAAUGAUCUCAAAUCAGGUAGGAUUACCCGCUGGACUUAAGCAUAUCAAUAAGCGGAGGA